rnacentral:rRNA from 1 species
GAUGAACGCUGGCGGCGUGCCUAAUACAUGCAAGUCGAGCGAACGGACGAGAAGCUUGCUUCUCUGAUGUUAGCGGCGGACGGGUGAGUAACACGUGGAUAACCUACCUAUAAGACUAGGAUAACUUCGGAAAACCGGAGCUAAUACCGGAUAAUAUUUUGAACCGCAUGGUUCAAAAGUGAAAGACGGUCUUGCUGUCACUUAUAGAUGGAUCCGCGCUGCAUUAGCUAGUUGGUAAGGUAACGGCUUACCAAGGCAACGAUGCAUAGCCGACCUGAGAGGGUGAUCGGCCACACUGGAACUGAGACACGGUCCAGACUCCUACGGGAGGCAGCAGUAGGGAAUCUUCCGCAAUGGGCGAAAGCCUGACGGAGCAACGCCGCGUGAGUGAUGAAGGUCUUCGGAUCGUAAAACUCUGUUAUUAGGGAAGAACAUAUGUGUAAGUAACUGUGCACAUCUUGACGGUACCUAAUCAGAAAGCCACGGCUAACUACGUG